GUGCUCCCUUUGGCAGCACUUAUACUAAAAUUAGAACAAUACAGAGAAGAUUAGCAUGGCCCUUGCACAAGGAUGAUCUACAAAUUUGUGAAGCGUUCUAUAUUUUU
rfam:Pteropus alecto contig25240, whole genome shotgun sequence.